rnacentral:rRNA from 1 species
CCCUUAGAUGUCCGGGGCCGCACGCGCGCUACACUGAAGGAAUCAGCGUGGCUUUCUCCCUGACCCGAAAGGGUUGGGAAACCCGUUGAAUCCCCUUCGUGAUAGGGAUUGGGGCUUGAAAUUGUUCCCCAUGAACGAGGAAUUCCCAGUAAGCGCGAGUCAUAAGCUCGCGUUGGUUACGUCCCUGCCCUUUGUACACACCGCCCGUCGCUACUACCGAUUGAACGGUUUAGUGAGGGCCUCGGAUUGGUCUCGGCCCGCUCUUUACCGGGCGGCGCCGUUGGUCGAGAAGACGCUCGAACUUGAUCGUUUAGAGGAAGUAAAAGUCGUAACA